CAGCAGCCACGGUAAUACGUAGGUGGCAAGCGUUGUCCGGAAUUAUUGGGCGUAAAGGGCCCGCAGGCGGUUUCUUAAGUCUGAUGUGAAAGCCCCCGGCUCAACCGGGGAGGGUCAUUGGAAACUGGGAAACUUGAGUGCAGAAGAGGAGAGUGGAAUUCCACGUGUAGCGGUGAAAUGCUUAGAGAUGUGGAGGAACACCAGUGGCGAAGGCGACUCUCUGGUCUGUAACUGACGCUGAGGAGCGAAAGCGUGGGGAGCGAACAGGAUUAGAUACCCCCGUAGUCCCUGUCUCUUAUAA
rnacentral:rRNA from 1 species